UCCAAAUUAUAAGUGAACAUAUCAAGCUUGAAAACAAGCUAGCUACUACUAGCUCCAUUCGAAGAUGUUUUUGGACAUUUCAAUAUGCACUACAUAUGGCCUGAUUUUUUUUAUUUUUUUUUGCAAGAUACAUAUGGACUGAAAUGAUUUGAAACGGAGGGAGUAGAUACUAGAUGGAAAUUAAACAGGGCCAGAAGUACAUGUACGUACAGUCUUUCCAAAGACAAACGGCAGCACAUGCACAGGAAGUACUGUGUCAAAAAAAAAGAUACUAGAUGGAAAUUAAACAGGACCAGAACUAGUACAUGUACCUACAGUCCAUGAAAAAACAACGGCAGCACAUGCACAGACACUAUGUAUGCAUACAUGCUAGCUACAUCACUCACACAACACACACACGCACGCAUACAUUGAUACAUACAUACAUCUUGUUCAUUUGCCCAUCAAGAAAUUAAGCAAAGUAAAAGCUCAAAGACGGUCAGACCCUGGCGGCGGGGGCGCCGGUGCCCAUGCCCUUGUGAUGGUGGUCGCCGUACUGGUGCUCCGCGCCGUACCCGUCGCCGAACUGGUUGCCGAAGAGCCCGGCGUGGAGCGCCAUGACGUAGAGCAGCUGGGUGAAGGCGAG
rnacentral:lncRNA from 1 species